rnacentral:rRNA from 1 species
UACGGAGGGGGCUAGCGUUGUUCGGAAUUACUGGGCGUAAAGCGCACGUAGGCGGCUUUGUAAGUUAGAGGUGAAAGCCCAGGGCUCAACCCUGGAAUUGCCUUUAAGACUGCAUCGCUUGAACAUCGGAGAGGUAAGUGGAAUUCCGAGUGUAGAGGUGAAAUUCGUAGAUAUUCGGAAGAACACCAGUGACGAAGGCGACUUACUGGACGAUUGUUGACGCUGAGGUGCGAAAGCGUGGGGAGCAAACAGG